rnacentral:rRNA from 1 species
UACGUAGGGGCCUAGCGUUGUCCGGAUUUAUUGGGCGUAAAGAGCGUGUAGGCGGCCCGGUAAGUCCGCUGUGAAAGUCCAGGGCUCAACCCUGGGAUGCCGGUGGAUACUGUCGGGCUCGAGUCCGGAAGAGGAGUGUGGAAUUCCUGGUGUAGCGGUGAAAUGCGCAGAUAUCAGGAAGAACACCCGUGGCGAAGGCGGCUCUCUGGGACGGUACUGACGCUGAGACGCGAAAGCGUGGGGAGCGAACAGG